UUGUGUGUUCCCGGACCGGAGCCUUCCGUGGGUAGUUAAUAAAUGGCUAUUGUGCUUCAGCUAGGAAAAGCAGGAAGUCCCUUCCGCACAGCUCACUCCGCUCCGCCGCAGACGAAACCAGAGUAGGUGGGGAGUGUCACUGCUGCUCGGCAUUUUCGGCAUUUUACGAACUACUUACAGAAUUUGAGGCUUGAAAGAGGCCUUGCAUGCAUAGUUCAGAGCUGGUUUUUCUGCUUUCUGCCUGCUCUCCCAUCCCCCUCCUGGAGCUGUGCUGAUGUCAAAGGAUGUGAAGUCACUGCCCAGAGAAGGUGUUGGUGGGGUAGGAAGGAAGGAGAGGCGGGCCAGCAGAGCUAGCCAAGCUGUCCACACACAGAGUUUCUGUCACAUCGGGUCGCUUAAUCCUGCGAGGUUUGCCGGGGACCCAUCCUUGAAUUAAAGAUUAAUUGCUGUCAGCAAUUGUGCAGAAUUGAUUAGAAAAGAACUUGCCUUUUUACGAGGGUUUUGUUCUUGCCGAGGAGCCUAAAAGAGAAACGUGCUCAUGCCUUGAAAUACUGAAAUCUAUUGGGGGUUGUAAUUCUGUAAGUGUUAGUGUUUUGUGGAAGAUUAGGGAAUGUUUUGCAUUUACAUAGGCCCCGUGUGCCAUUUGGCAUUAAAAUUUUAAAAUGGCAACAAGUUCUCGCUGUGAAUCUAGAUCGUUGUUCAAUAGUUUGCCUCUUUUAUAGUUUAUAUUUAUUUGGGACCUGAAAUUUAGCUGUGAGACACAGUAUCAGGUUAAACUAUAGCUAUCAGGAUACUACAUACUUAUUUUCAGUUGAUAUUUUAAGGUAUUUGUUAUGUAAAAUUUUUGUUCAUUAUUGGGUGAAACAGAAAACGGGUGCUAAGUUUCAUCAAAUCACUUAAAAAUGUGUCCUGUCACAACCAUGCCUCAGCAGGACAAUUUUCACCCCAGGGUCUCCUGAGGACCCCCAUGCAGGCAGGUGGGGCAGGCUCUCUAGUCACUGAUGGCCCUGUGGUCAGCAUGCGGCCAACGAGGGUUGGCCCAGGAGACCAGCGUGCGGUAGGGUAGCCCGACCGCUGGGAGGAAAGGCUGGGAGGAAAGGCGUUGCUUCUCUUUCUAAAGUCCCUCCGACGAAGCAGCUGAAGUCAGGCGGCCGAAGUCAGCACCCACAGUGACCUAGUGGUCGGGCAGGCCUGACUUUAUUACAGCUAGUGUUAGGUGUUCCGCUUCUGGACCCCAGAGGGAUUGUUGGGAGUUCUCGAGUUAUCCAACAUUAACUAGUUCACAGUAAAAUAAUUUGAUUUCGUGUAAAUGUAUAUACAUUUUAAGGUGUCUUAUAACAAAUCUUUUUGGUUUGUGAGUCUUCUGGUUUUUAUUAGGCAGUUAAUACAUUAGUUCUUUUAAUUAUAAAUGUAUUAUGAAUAUAUUCUGAAAUAAGAUCAUUUUAUUUUUCCGUCAGAUGCAUAACUUCUUGUUAGUUCCAAGAUCUUAUCAUGCCCAGUAGGAUUUUUUUCCUGUUGACUAGUCACUGUAUAACUGGGGGGUGUGGGGGUUACGUAGUAAAGUGUAUUAACUGACAAGAACUCGAGUUUUUAAGAAGAUGUUAACCUUUCAGGACCUUAGACUGACUUCUAUAUCAAACAAAAUGGGUAGUUUCUAACUUCAAAAAUCAAAGAAAGUUUGGUUUACUUAUAAGGACUUCUUGGAGCAAGCAGGUUAAUAUGACUUUUAGCAAAAUGUGUUUUGUUUAUUGAGCUCUUAGUGAAUUUAACUUCCAUUUAGCAGCUUCCGGGUGCCAAGAGCCAAAGACCUUUCAAAGUACUCCACAGUCCCUGCUGCACAGGAGCAUUGGGUCCUGGGUGGGAGACCCAGCUGGGGCGAAGCAGAGGCACUCUUCUGGCCAGGGUGUUCUGGGGAGAAGGGGACUGCUGUCCUGGUGCUGGGAGAGAGAGGGCACUGACCACGCUUGGCGCCUGGAGGAGGGAGGGCUGGCACACCCAGAAGGGAAAGUAGCUUGCCCACCUCACACAGCCUUCCUUAAGUGCAGUCCACACUCAGACUGGUUGUUUUGCUCUGUUUUGCUUGGAAUCUUUUUUUUUUUUUUUUAACUCAUUUUAAAUCAGAAAUAGUGACUGUUUAUAGGACACUUAGCAGCGAUAAGAUUACAGUAGGGUUUUUCCCAUUUCCUCAUCGUCUGUUGGGUUCAGUGGCCUUUUUUUGCAUGGCAGUAUUGUACCAGGGUUCAUUUCUUACUGGUUUCACAAAUACUGUAUUUGUGGAGCAGUACUAUGUGCUGGGCAGGAUCCUAACUUGGAAUGAGAACAAGAGAACAAGCAUGUGAUCCCCCCACCGGGAGUUUACAGCCCCUGAGACUGGGGCUGGGGCUGGGGAGGGUCCAGUAAGCAAAGAGGAAAGCACAGUCACUCAACUGAUUUUGAGACCAGUUGGUCUGAUUACUGUACCAAGUAGUGAAGGGCUUGUGAUUAAUGUGGUGAUUUUUCAUAUCCCAAAAAGUUAAGGCGUGAAAGGGAUCUAUUUUAAGUUAGUGCGGACCUUCCUGUGUGUGGGAGAGUAGCUUAGGACCUGGUGGCUGGUGAUUUAAAACCUCAUUUCCAGCUCCGUCCGAGUACCGGCUGCGUGCUGGGCAUGUUCUCUGUGGUCUGCUGCCUGAACCACUGGCCACCUGUGACUGCUGGUUGAGCACACAGCUAAGAAACUGAAUUUUUAAUUUUAGUUAUUUUAAAUUUAAAGGAACAGUGUGUUUAGUGGCUACUGUACUGGAUAACACAGAAUUGGCAAACUUUUGGAAAAGGGCUGGAUUGUAAAUAUUUUUGGCUCUGUGAGCCAAAGCAGCCAUUGACAGUAAAUGGACAGGCAUAUCUGUGGUCCAGUAAAGUUCUAUUUACAAAAACAGGUAAAGCUGGAUUUGGCCCAUGCGCCAUGGGCUACUGGCCCUGUUCUAGGCCAAUCCUUGGAUCUUUAAGCCACUUCUUGAAGGCUCGAAGCACCGCCUCGCCGCCCUCCUGGUUGGUGGCCAGGCCUGCUCUGCCCUGGACUCACCCCUGCCUCUUUGGGAGGCUGGUUUAAGGCAGGGACAGCUGCACCAGAAAGGUGGUGACAGGCCAGAGAGGCUCUGUGCAGCCUGGAACCUCUCCAGGUACCUGCUCUCACCUCACCCUCAAUGCUCUGUUGGUGAGUUUGAAGCCUAGUGAGGAGCCAAAAUACAAACCAUUCUUUUUAUGGAAGCCUGUGUCCUCUGGAUGUGGGGGUCUGAUAAUGAGCACCUCGUUUCCGCAGUACUUGUUGGAUCGUUGCUGGUCGGGCUUCACCUUCCCAGUAAAAAUUUAGAGGAAAGCACGCAGGAAGCACGAGAAGAGGUUGACCCGGCUCUGGUCCCCCUGCGUCUGCGGCCUUCCCCAGCACUGGCGCUAAGGGACACCGUGCUCCCAGAGCUCGGGUGCAUCUGUGGGCCUGGAACCAGGGAGGGUCAGUGCUCAGAUGGUGACCCACAGCAAAAGGCCCCGCAAAGGAUGACGUCUUUCUGAAUAGUGCGUCCACUCAGUUCACCGUGCCUGCGCACUGCACAGAUGUCUACCUGUUGGGACUGCAGCUCCCUCAGAGGUGACUUCAGAAGUGCACUCACAUUCACAGCAGUGAUCCUGUGUGUGAAAGUGUGUCCUUUGUGUUCCUGGCAGUGCGCAAGGUAACCAGAGUAACAGCCCUGGGGAGCGGGGGUAUGAGGUCUACACUAAUUUUUCUUAAUUAGUCCUGCCCUUAAAGUCAGGCUGAGGUCUGCUCCUGAGCUUUGCCUCACAGCACAAGCCGCCUCUAGAGUUUGGCCUGAGAUGUGUUAAUUACAUAGAAAACAGAGGAAAGGGAGGAGGCAAGGUCAUCAGUCAAGGAAAGGGGUGUGAGACAGUGGUUUGGGGGGUACCGCUACUUCUGCUACUUCUGGUCAGAAAUGUCAAGCUAAUUGUUCUCUGUUAAUCAUAGAGCACUUGGCCAAGCUCAAAGAACUUUGUGACCACUAAUUCUUGGGCUUCUCCCAGCACUCCUGCCUGCAGGGUGAGCAGGGCAAGGCUAGGGUGUCUCCUCCAAAGGCCAUCCAGCCUGGAGGCUUAGGCCAGGCUGCACCCCAGAGCUCUGCUGGUGAAUGUCCCAGAGGGAGAGCAGCACGAUGGAGCACUCUUCUGUGUGCGGGCCAGGGCUUGGUCCUUCUGUCCUUGCUCUCAUUCAGAGCCUGCCCAGCGCUGUGAGGCUUCACUCUUUCCACCACUGUCUAGAAGAAACAGGGGAGCCCUUGCUCAGGGCCACACAGUCGUGAGCCUCAGGCAGCAUAGCACAGCCGCACCUUCUGAGCCUGGAGAGGCCCUGCUGAGAACCCCGCAUCCUGGGUCCUCUUGCUUCUCCCAGCUGUCUGUGCUGUGGACUGUGCAAGGGAAGUGGAGCCCGCACUCGCUGCCUCUGAGCAGGAGCUUGCUGGGGGUUUCCACAUGGGCGUUCCGGUGCUGGAGGAGAUUAUCUUCCCAGGUCCCACCUCACUGUCAGGCCUGCCAGGCCUUACUUGAGUUUUAGUUUGGCUUAGUUUUCUUAUCUCCACAAAAUCAGGCAGAUCCCGAGGAGUCACUGGAGCUCCAGAUCUCUCGACGUAUCUAGAGAGCAUCAGGCAGUGCUGGAGUGAAAAGAAAGCCACUUCACUCCUUUCUUUUCAUAUUGGAAAGACAUUGGCUAAACUGCACAAGGACACCCUAUUAUAGAAAAUAAAGGUCUGGUUUUAGUUAGGCCCUGAACUGUUUAUAAAUCAAAAGCCCUUCUAGUUAAAAACAGACACUAAAAAGAUAUAGCAGUAAAUACAAUGAGUAAAUCUAUUCCAAACACAAAACUGACCCUAUAGACAAUACCUGGGGGCAGUGGGAGAAAGGGGAGCUCUGAGUGACUCUGGAUGGCGCAGGAUUAUUGUUGGUUUUCCAGGUGAGGGGUGGUGACAUGGCUUUGUAGGAGACCAUCGUCCAUGCAGGCAAUACAGACUGAUGUAGUCUUAAGUGCUGUGACCCCGGCUCUGCCGCUUACUCGAAUGGUAGUAAGAAAAUUAACUUCAGAGCAAAUGUGCUAUGCACAGGUAGCUGUUGCCCCUAGGGAAGGAGCUAUUCCAGGAUCCAUUCAGCUUUACAUGCAUCCGAACAUUUUCGUAUCUAAGGGAAAUGUCUUUCAAAAGGUUCCGGUUUAGAAAAAAUAUGCAAUGUGCAUGUAAUCACUUAGAACUUGUUUAUUGAGCAAUGAGAAGCAGUCACAUAUGUUGAUUUUGCCCCCUGGUCACUGACUCACGGUAGCUAAAGAGCUAGCCACACUGCCUUACUGAGUGGUGUUUGGGCCACAGACGCUGAUGCUUGAUGGCUCUUGGAUUGGUCUUUUGGGAAACCUGCCUGGAAGGCACACUGGGAGAUACAACCAAGGCUUCCUCCUAACUUGAGAGGUAGUGCUGGGUGGUCAAGGGUGAGGGGCUGGUGGGAGUCUCACGCCAGGACCAAGUGCCCAUCUGCCCCAGCUAGCUGAACCUUGUGGGCUCACGAGGCCCUCUGUGCUGGAAGUGGAAUUUGGGGAGGAGGUGACAGUACCCCACCUCUCAGGGUAUCGUGGGGUUAAUGAGUGAAGGCUUGAAAUGGCAGCUGGAAAGUUAACAAGACUCGCCAUGGGAGAAGUCUUUUUUGGGUCAUAUGGGGUCCUUCAGAGCCUAGCAGCUUAACCACAAUCUGGUUAUAUUUUCUACAGCUCUCUUACCUAUAUUUGUUAAUCUUGUUUUUUGUUUUGUUUUUGUUUUUGUUUUUGUUUGAGACAAGGUCUUGCUAUGCAGUUCAGGCCAGCCUUGAGCUCACUUUGCAGCCCAGGCUGGUCUCAAACUUGCAUUGAUCCUCCUGCCUCAGCCUCCCAGUGCUGGGAUUACAGGUGUGCGCCACCACGCCCGGCUAUGUAUUUGUUAAUCAUGGAACUCGUCCAUCCCUCCUACCCCUCUCUUUUCCCAAGCCUUUCAUAGCUUGCAGUCUGCUUGGCAUGGCGCCUCGUGGGAGCAGUGAGUGUGUCAGCGCUCUAGCCUGUGCCUGAAGUACCUGCCCAGCUGAUGCAGUGCCACCUCCAUGGCUGUCGUCCUGGUGCUCAAGGUCCCUGUUCUGCCUCUGUCGGUUCUGUCAAGUCCAGAGUAAAAUAAGAAUUUGGCCCUUGGGUUUUUAACUCCCAUGGAAGAGUUUACACGUAACAGUCACGAGAAGUUCAGUGUUUAACAGUUAGCGACGUCCUUUGUGCUCAUCUCAGUAGCGCGACUUCACCUGCCGUUCCCCCCCCCGCUGUCUCAGUGCUUUCCUCGCUGGGCUUCCGGAGGUCCCACGUCUUAUCAUCGGAUCCACCAGAUUAGAUUGCACUGGAUUCCUCUUUGGUGUUGAUUUUAUUUUGGUUUGAAAGGGGUCUUACUGUGUGGCCCACACCUGCCUCAAACUCCUGCCUCAGCCUCCAGAGUAGCUAGGGCUGUAUACAUACACACCACCACACCUGACUAGUGGUGAACUUUUAAAAUCAGCUAAUAGCUAAAAAAGUGAGUUCUUAGCUAUAAUCUUGAACUUUUAUUGUUUUUAAUACUGUAUUUUUAAUAGAAUUGGAGCUAUAAAUACUUUUUGAUUAGAUGUUUUUAGCCUGUUCUUUGUCGUUAUUGAUGUAUAACAACUUUUUAAUCAGUUGGAUUUUUGUCAGCUGAUUUUGUUACUCAUAAGUGAAGUAUUGUGAUAUUUUAAUUUAUAGAAUUGUAAGUAAUGUUCUAGAGAACAAACCUAAUUCUUCCUAAAUUACUGGUGUUUCAUUCUUAGGUGAGGGGCUUCCAGGAAGAGGUGAGGGGGUGUGUGUGUGUGUGUGUGUGUGUGUGUGUGUGUGUGUGUGUGGUGGCAGUUUCCAGGCACGAGCUUUUCCAGCCUGGGUAGCAGGCCAGGUGGAUCUGGGUGUGCCUGUGACCACAUUCUCCAAGCUCAGAGGCCGAGGAGGUGCCCAGGGUCUGUGUGCAGAGCGGCCCUGCCCAGGCAGCAGGCUGGCACAGCAGUCACACUGCUACAAUCAGGAGACCUGCACGGCCACACUGUCUUCACGCAGCUACCAAGAUGCCCACUGCCCUGUUCUCUGUGUAGUGUGGUGUCCAGCUGGCGCUGCCGCGCGAUCUGCCACACACACCAGUCUGACCUCAGGAUGUCCUUGAUGAAGCAUGCUGUUAGCACUUGCAUUACAGUCAGCACUCUGUGUACCUGUUUAACUCUGUGUGAUGAGGGAAUGGUUCACGCAGAGCCCUUCAGAUGGGGUCUGUCUGUGGUCGUGGAACUGUGAGCUGAGUAGACAGGAACUUUCUCAAGGAGUGAAAAAAGAAAAGGCAGAUAGCUGGUUAGUAAGGGUUGACUAUUUGGCAAAUAUUUUCUGGAAAAAAUCUAUGAAGUGAGCUGAUCAAUUCAACUGUAAUACUUAUUUUUUUCCCCAUGAUAAAGUCCAAGCUUUCAAGCAAAAUUUAAAUUUUGGGAGAUUUGUAUCUGUCAGUGUGAGCGUGACAGUUGCCGCUGCUAAAGGAGCUCCUGCUGGAGUUGAUGUGAUGGUGAGAAGCAGGGUUUCUCGAAUACAGGGGAGGUUGCACACCUCAGCACCCUGCGUGUCCCAGUGAGCAGUCAGUGAUGCACCGCAAAGCACGCAGGCCCCAGGUGGAAGGGCUAUGCACACCGCUGGGUGUCACUGGGACCACAAAGUCACCAACGUGGUUUUAGGUUCCACAUCACAGCUGGUCUCUGAGACGCUGUCAUUGUCCACUUUUAGUGUACGAUGAAAGAACAUUCAAAAUGUUUGAAAGGCAUUGAAGUUACCAGCUUUUUCAACAAACAGGUCUCUUAAGAGCCUGUGUUGUUGUAGUUUAUUUUUCACACAUACUUCUAAAAAACUAUGCCUCGCAGCAAAUGGGAUAAGGAAUAUAGAUGUGCAGACCUGUCUUUUAAGGCAGACAUUAAAGACAUAUACAAAGAUGUAAAACUGUCAUUUUUCCUUUUAAAAGUUUUCAUAAAGGUGUUACUUAACAUAAAGCAAAAGCAUUGCUUUUAUGAGUUACUAAAUCCGAUAUUUCUAAAACUUCUCUCACAUGGCCAGUGUAAGGGGAUAUAACCCAGCAAUUCAAAGCUUUUUCUGCUCCUCAUACUUGGAAGAAUAUAAACACCACGAAAGGCCCUUGACCUAGGAAGUCUUGGCAUAGGCUGAAAGCGGCCCUGACCCAGUGUUUACUAAGCCUUGAUGCUUUCUCUCUUCCUCCUCAACACAAAACAAAAGCAAAAAUAAAUAAAAAUCCCAUGGUGAGCUUUUCUGUGCAUUUGCUGUAAACUUCCCAAGUAGAUUGCCCUCUGCAAGAGGGAGGGAGUGUGACAUUGCCGCCCGCCUGCAGCUGACUGUCCUCAGGGCUGUGAGCAGCGCUCACCUCCCACGGGGUGCACUCACCGUACCCCCCACACUGCACAGGUGUCAGAAAUGCCUGGGCUAGAGCGAGACUGCACCCUGCUAACUUCAGAGCAGAGGCCUCUUUGCCUCAUCGGGCUUCUGGAAAUGUGGAUUUUUACUUCUCACUUCUUCAGACCUGGUUCUGAGAAGCAUUCAUCUUGAGAGAACAUGGAUGACCCUUUUGAAAAUAUCAUACUAGAUGCUGAAAAGAUUGAGAUCUUACUCACCGUGUGAUCCUCCCAACACACACAUCAUUUCCUUAGUUACUAGAUCCAGUCACUCGGAAAUCCACCUCUUCAGAGCCCAGCUUAGGUCUGGCAGUGCCCUUACUAGGGUUUGUGAUUUCGGUAGCCAUGCCUUCUGAAUCUCCAGGCGUGUUCUGUUCUGACAUGUAUUUGAAGCCAGGUGUCGAGGCACACUCCUGUAAUCCCAGAACUCAGGAGGCAGAGCCAAGAGAAUUGCCUUGAGUUGGAGGCCACCCUGGCUUACAUAGUUCAAGGUCAGCCUGAACUGCAAAGCAAGACCCUAUCCCCUGGCUCCCUCAUGGAAGCAUUAGGUUAUCGUGCUUAUUUUCAAGAAAAUUGAAAGAAAGAAGCUUAGACUAAAUUCCAGGCUAAUGUCCCUAAAGACAGGAAACACACAAUAAGAACAAGAAACCCUCCUUUUAUUUCAUCCUUAAUUAAGAGAAAUGGCCUGCCCGGAGAAAGGUUGAGUGGUUGUCCAACAGACAGACUGUUUCAAAAACUAACAAAUCCAGAUAGUUUUUCUUUAUAAAAAUUUCACAAAUAGCAUUAUGCUAAAAAGCAUCUUUAUUACUCUUUAACAAUGGUUAACUAAAUUUAUAAAUUAAAGCUAAAUUUAUAUUCUGAGUUUGUUUUGUUUUUCCAUUUAGCUUCCUGUCUUCUAUACGUCCUCUCCUUAAGAACCCCAGUCCUAGGGGGCUGGGGAUGUAGCUCAGCGGCAUAAGCGCCUGCCUUGGAAGCAGGCAGUCGUGAGUUCGAUCCCUGGUACCAAUAAAAAGGAAAAAGACCAAAAAAAAAAAGAACCCCAGUCCUGGGACUGGGGAUUAAGCUCUGCGGCAGAAGCCCCUGUCCUGCAAGUGCAUGGGCGAGGUCAUGAGUUAGAUCCUUGUACCAAUUUUUAAAAAAAAGAUGCCAUCUUAUUUUAUCUUGUUUACUUUCCACUGAGACCAUCUCCUCUGGAAAUGAAGUGUUGAAACUGACCUUCUAUAAGUCAGCCAAAGUUUUUGGAGGGUUGACUUUUCUUAUUCAAAUACUGCAGUGUUGAUGGAUCUGAAUCUGUAUUUUUUUUACUUGAGUUUUGUGCAUCAUUUGCCAGUUUUCAAAAUAUUAAUGUUGAAUUUUUGUAUUUCAUUUAUCAUUGUCCAAUUAAAUGAGCACAGCUUGUCCUGCCUACCUAGAUUGGAUAUACACCUUUUGGAAGUAGCAUGCAUAUAUGUGCACACAUGUGUUUAUGUAAAGCUGAAUGUCAGCUGCCAGAACCCACUUCAGUCCUACAGCUUUAUUUGGAAUAGCACAUGGGCUUUUGCUUAUUAGCUUUUUCACCCUUUGUCUUUAGCAAAAAGAGGAGAACCAUUAAGUUAAAAGUAAUCUAAGCUUAAGCCCCCCAAAUAAUUUUAAGAUGUACACUUUACAUUUAAAUAUUAAAUAUAAGAAGCAUAUUCAGUAAAGACCUCUUUGGCAGGAAGCAGGGACUUGUGAGCCCAGUUAAUGGCCUUACCUGCGGCAUCCAUAGUAACUAGACAUGCCGCCCUGGUAAAUAUUUAUCCAGUUAGCCCUGCUGGGGAGUCUAGGUAGUUACAGCAUCUGCCAGCAGCCUUGGGGCUCUUUGCUAUUACCUGGCAUUCAAGCAUCACCAUCCUUCAUCUCUUCCAAGAUGAAAACUUUAGAAGACCAGUUUACUGGGAGCAAUUCAGUGUGCUGUCUGUGGCUACCAAAUGAGAACGGAUAGGCUGUUAUUGUUAAUCAUUAGCACCCAGGAACCUUUGUAAUCUUCAAAGCUUCUUGCAAGUGUUCAUUAACCGUCGCCCUCUUUCCUGUGAGGUAGCAAACAGGUAUUAUUAGCCCCAUUUUUACAGUUGUGGAAACCAAAGUGGAGAGGUUCCCCAAGUCGCCUGAGGUCCCAGAAGAGUUGGUGACAGAGACCGGAUGAGCACUUGGGUUUCUGACUCAGUUCUGGGCUCACCCCGCUCUGAAUGUGCAUGGGAAGCUGCUAGUGCAGGGCCUUUAUCACCAGAUCUCCGUGCAGAGCUCCUUCUGCUCUGCUCUCACCACAGUGUAGAGUGUAGUGCUGCUGAAACCAGGUUAGCUGCUCUGAUGGUGUCAACCAGAAAAACAAGAGAUGCAGAUUCUGGGUCACGAAGGUAAGGCUCUUCCUGGGGUUUGUGGCCAUGGGUGAAAUGAACUAACCUCAGCCUUGAAUUGUCCACCUGUGCCUUAGUUUGUCCUCAAAGCUCCUGGGACUUGUCUUCUACUUGAGUUAAGAAUCUCACCUUCCAGCUGGAUGCUAAUCAUCGAUGGUGAGACUAUUUCAGUGAUGAAUGUGAACUGAUUGCUGGUAGAGGUGUAGGGAGUCAUUCUUAGAAUUCGGUACAAAAUUUGAUAUAUUUUUCUCUUGGCAGUGAUCCAUGUGGUUCUGGAGCAGAGCAGAGAGGCACCCUUUCUUAGAAACUGGCUCUGUUUUAGUUUAGCCAUUGCUCUUAAGGGGAAACAAUAGGCAGAAAUAGUUCUUGCUGUGUACAAUGAGACGAUGUAUGUGUCAUGAUAAAAAGCGGUGACUUCAUGUUCCUUAUUGUAAUAAAGCCUGCACGCUUCCUUCCUGCUUCCUGUUCAGCGUCAUGCUGUGCAGUGCAUGGAUUUCAGCAUUGGCAGUGUGGCCUUCGUUGGGCCAAAGGAGGUUGAAAUUCAGAUUAAAAAUUUGUAAGUAACCAAUUGUAUUUCAAAUGGAAAGAAAACUUUGUGGGAUAUGCCUAACAGAAAAGAGAACAAAGUUGAAUUUUUUCUUUGCCUGUGACCACCUAAAGCUUUAGAUCAUCCAUUAGAUGAGUGUUUGGAAGUCACUAGCAUGGCUGCUGUGUGCUCGAAUCGGUUGUAUAACAGGUACCACGGUUGCUUGUCUGUGACAGCAUCUAGGGCGCGUAGGAGAGGGCAGCCCUCCCAAAAGUGUGCUUAGCUGAAGUUUGAGAAACUAAUUGGUGGCUCCAGAGUACAGUUGGGGGAGAUGCAGGGAUUCAGUGUACUAGGGCCAUGCAGCAAGAGACAUCCUGGCAAAGUUGGCAUCAAGUGAGAUUCACUCUUUAUGACCUGAUAAAAGGAGAGCAGCAGAGAGCUGUUAGUGGAGGCAAGGGGCAGGGCAGGAGUACAGCACGCCCCUUUGUCACUGCGAAGGUUAGAGGCGAACGGGACAGGCAAGAAUGCGUUUGUUCUGUGUGGUUCCCUGGUGGGUUGCGUGCUGUGGAAGAAACUGAAGGUGAUACCUUUGGUUGAGGGUGGGGCGAAGUUGGAGGAUUUGCACUCUUUUUGUGCAUGUAUUUGUGUACGCAUGUUUGAACUGUAGGUAAAAAGCUAAGUGAAGGCAUAAGGUGAGAACUGGACUCGUGUGUGCGGGGCCCUGGGUAUAAUCCCCAGUACCACAGUAAAGGGAAAAGAAGGUAUAACAUGAAAAGCAGGGGACAUGUAUUGAUGAUUAAAUCAAAGCCUUGCCAUCUUUCUGGUCUCUGAAAGUAAUGCUAUGGUUUUAAAAAUUAACUAACACAUAGUGUGCAAGGCCACAGUCAUGGAUUCAGAUUUGCCACUCAGCCAGAAGUUCACUUGCCUCGUUCUCAUCACAGUGUGUGUAUGCUCAGCUCUGGCAGCCUGACUGCGAGCUCACUCUGCUUCAUGAACACAGCAGAGCACAGGAGUGCAGGUGACUGCGCAGGUCAUUCAGACUGCAGCUCUGGGUUCACCAGCCUGUCUUUUUACCCAUUCUGCUGUAUUCCAGGCACUGUCACUGUAUUCCAGGCCCUCAUUAUUCUUUAGUGAGUGGAAAGGCUGGCUGUCCACAUCACCUCUCCUGAAAGUCAGAGCCUUCCGUGUCUUCUACAGGGAGGGGUCCCCAGGGGUGUCGAGCAGGAAGAGAAUUUAAGAAGGAGGCUGGGGGAGGUAGGACCUUGUGACCUUGGUUUUCCUGGUGGUGUGAGAGAGGAGACCUCAGCUGAAAACCAGGUAGACAAGUAAAUGAGGCCCUUGAAGAAUGACAAGGGAAAUGACCAGAGGUGGGGAGUGCAGAGGCCCCACACGUGGCUAUCACUGCUUUCCACCACAAAGGCCUGACCUCCUGGCCGCCGUCCCUUACCAUGUAAUGCUCUGCAAAUAUUUUUUGUUUACAUUCAGGUCAUUGAUCAGUUUCGAUUUAGUUCUCAGGCAUGAGAUGAGGGUCCAGCUUCACUGCAUUGGAUAAUCUGUUUUUCCGGCACCAUUUAUUGCGAAGACUGUUCUCUAGCCCCUUGAAUGGACCUGGCAUGCUGGUUAAGGAUCAGUGGACCAUAACGAGAGGGUCUCUUUCUCAGUCCUAGUUCUUUGGCCUUCUACCUGUCGUUAGAUCUGUACCAUACUGCCUUAAUUCUGUAGCUUUGCUUUAAGCUUUAAAAUCAAGCAAUCUGAGCCUUUCAACUUUGUUCUUUUUCUAAGACUGUUUGGUCUUUUGAAACCCUUGCACUUCCGUGUGCAUCUGAGGAUCAGCUUGUCAGUGCUCAGACUUCCUUCUAUUCCAGAGCCCUCCCUGGGCCAGCUCAGGUCAGUGAGGGUAGGGCUGCCCACCUUGCCUGAAAGCACGUCUGCCGCCACUGAGGGGGAGCCCACUGCUUCAGAUGGCCCCCCAGGAGCCCCCAGAUGUUUCCAUUUCUGGAGCUUAAAAGUCUUUUAUCAUAGAAAGCAAUGUGGCUUUAAUAUUGUUUUGUAAUUUUUAGUUUAGUAUAAAAUGUAUAAAAUGUUAGUUUAGUAUAAAAUGAUAUUUAAUAUCAUUUACAUGGGAAACUGAUAUUCCAGGAAGCAUAGCAUCUAAUUUGCAGCUUGGAGCCCUCUGAGUGAGUGUAUCUGUUGUGAAAAGCCCUCAAGGAACCCCACCUGCAGAUCCUAGGCCGAGGGUUGUUUCACGGUGCUAGUUCCUCCUGUAGAGUGCCAUCCUUUUCUGUGGAUCUGGAGACAGACUUGAGUCUCAUCGGUCUGAAGCUUGCAGGAUGAAAUCUGCUUUGUUUCCUGUUACCUUUUGGGGGAACUGAGGUCUUGACCAGGGGACCCAGCCACUUAGUUUACCUGGUGCAGCACCAGUGCUGCGCAGGUAGGACUGUCCCUGUCUAAGGCAGAAGCAGGAGCUAAAUUUAUUCAGUGUAUAAGGCUUUUAUUCUAUACGGCCUUUUCUAUAUUAAAAUGUCCUUUCUGUUUUUUUAAAGACUCUUGUCAGGCAUGAAGCCAGUGUCGGUCUGAGGGUCCUUGUGAAAGCAGAACUCCAGAGUGUUGUUUUAGCCCACAGACCCCAGAUUUGCCCUUGGGUUGCAUUUGGAGUUACCAUGUGAUGUUUCAAAUGAUUUACAGUGUGUCACUUUUACAAGUCUUUCUCCACUCUUUGUGUGUGAAACGCCCAGGUUAGGCAGCUCCGUGGGGCUGGCCAGGCAACUGUGGACAGUGAUGGUUUUGGGCUAUGGUGCUUCUCCUGGAGUGGUGGGAAACUUCUAAAACCAGACAAGGUGGGGGUGAUCGUGCGCACAACACUGCAAAUGCCCUAAACGCCCCAACUGACGCACUUGAAAAUGAUUAUUGUAGAUUAUGUGAAUUUCACCUCUGUUUUUGAGAAAAGCCCAUUUUGUUCAGUGAGGUAACAGGGGACUGGAAGGUGAGGGGCAGUGAGUCGCUCUGAUGCUGUCUGAAUCUGGGGGUGUGUGAGUGUGUGCUCCCACACAGAUACGUGUGCCGCGACCUGUGUGCCAGUGCUGGGCUUCUCUGGUUUAGUCCCAGGAAGCUGCUUGGGUGGACAGAUGCCCUGCUCUGGGCAGGAGAAGACUAACCUGGUGCUGAGACCCAUGCCGGUGUUCUUCAUUUCCUUCAGAAACAGUGUUUUACAGCCUUUUACAGCCUUCCACCCUGAGGGUCUGACAUUGUGCCUCCAUCAGCCAGAACUUUCCACAGGGGGUGAGAAGACCAACAGUACUUCCCAUGAAAGAGUGAAGAUAAGUUCCCCAUCAGGAUGGCCUUUGGAGCACGCCUGAGCUCUCUGCAACUGGACAUGGGAUGGGGGCCAGAGGGAGCCCUGGCAGGGAACAGGGCAUGGGCUGUGAGGAGUGGCGGGGAGGCCCAGGGUUUGAUGGGGGUGAUGUGUGCCAUGUUGGGGCUUUACCAUAAGUGUUCUCACAGGCAGAUGUUUCUGGCUACCUGCCAUACACUGGCUGGACGUUACAAGUGAAUACCGUGUACAAGCGACAGUGAUGCCAUGUGGUGGCACAUGCCAGAGCGGGAGAUGCUCCGGAAUGCUCAGGGAGCCCCAAGGGGGAGCGGUCACCAACCUGUGGGGGGAGACAUGUGUGGGUUUGGUUGUGUUCAUACUGUUGUCUCUGUUCUACUGCAAAUGAAAUACAAGUCCUCUUGACCGAUG